ACACAUGCAAGUCGAACGGCAGCACGGGGGCAACCCUGGUGGCGAUGGUGAACGGGUGAGUAACACAUCGGAACGUGCCCAGUCGUGGGGGAUAACGUAGCGAAAGCUACGCUAAUACCGAUACGAACUCUGGUUUGAAAGCGGGGGACCUGCAAGGCCUCGCGCGAUUGGAGCGGGCGAUGGCCAGAUUAGGUAGUUGGUGGGGUCAAAGGCUCACCAAGCCGACGAUCUGUAGCUGGUCUGAGAGGACGAACAGCACACUGGGACUUGAGGACACGGGCCAGACUCCUACGGGAAGCAGCAGUGGGGAAUUUUGGAACAAUGGGCGCCAGCCUGAUCCAGCAUUCCGGUGCAGGAUGAAGGGCCUCGGGUUGUAAACUGGUUUUGGACGGGAACGAAAAAGCCCGUCUCUAAUACGGGGCGGUCAUGACGGGACCGGCAGAAUAAGCACCGGGUAAACUACAGUGC
rnacentral:rRNA from 1 species